CCGAGCUGGUGCUGCACGCAGGGCAGCCCGGCUCCCUUGCCCUGCUGUCCCAGGAUGGCAAGAAAAUGUGCUAGGUCUAGGGCCCCACCAAGACACGCACCGUGGAUCUUUCUAGACACACAUUCUGUGGCACUCACACAUCCCUACCGCCACUCCUUACAUAAACUCUCAGGCCAAAUCUAGAGGAGGAUCUGCGGCCUCUAUAGAAUGUUUAGGAAUAAAUCCGAACCGAACAGCUAGCCGGAUUCCCCCGAGCCUGGGCCUCCACGGUAAAGCCGGAAGAAGGCAGGUUGGAGGAGGAUGGGAGGCAGGGCACUCUGGGCACCCAUGGGCUCCUGCGUGGCCUGGCGCCGCUGUCCCACCCAGCCUGACCUUUCCUGUCCUGAACCUGCUCAAAAGUUGGGCAGGCCCCCCAGAGAGGGCGCCUCCAGCUUGCGGAGGCCUGAACGCAGGGGCGCAGAUUUUCCAGAAUCUAGAGGGGGGAACCACGGAGCCUUUGACGAGGCCUUGGCGCCUUUGAUGGCUCCCCGCAAAGGGCAGGCUGGGUGCCCAGGUGGCGCUCCCCGCACGUGGGGAGUGUCGCACCCCAGGUCCCCCGCUGAGACACCCGCCACCCCCGCCGCAGGCCUCGGUGGGUCAGGGGCGCGGACCCCGCGCGCAGCCCGCACUCGUGCAGCGCCUUCCGCGAAUAAGCGGCGAGGGGAGGAGGGGGGUGGUUUUCCUGUUCUGCCGUCUCGCUCUAUCAUCCACGAUCACGCAGCCAGAAGACGCCAAGGGGAGUUUGUUCAACUCUCCGCCAACAACCGCCGUUCGGGUUACGACUCAUUUACUCCUCGCAACUCUGCGUUCCCGGGUGCACAGGAGCGGAGAAGCCUUUGUUCGUCUGACAAAGACCUGGACGCCCGCCUGCCAAGAGCGUCCAGGACGAGUGGACUCCCCGCACCCCUCUGCAGGUUUAGGGGCUGCUGGGUUAGGGACACCUCCGCGGAUCCCGACCUAGUUCGUUUGGGGCCCCAAACUGUUCCCUUGAGCCUGCCAGAGCCCUUGCAGAACCCUGGCAAAAAGUACCUAGCCCGCCCAAAACAGGGCCAUCCUCGGUGCUUGGGCGUGUGCGCAUUCUUCCGGGACUGUGGGGAAAGGGGAGCCGAUUUAUUUUAUUAAAGUUUUCC
rnacentral:lncRNA from 1 species